UUCUGCUGGGGCGUGGGGGUAGG
rnacentral:piRNA from 1 species